rnacentral:rRNA from 1 species
AGCGUACACGGUGGAUGCCCUGGCAGUCAGAGGCGAUGAAGGACGUGCUAAUCUGCGAUAAGCGUCGGUAAGGUGAUAUGAACCGUUAUAACCGGCGAUUUCCGAAUGGGGAAACCCAGUGUGUUUCGACACACUAUCAUUAACUGAAUCCAUAGGUUAAUGAGGCGAACCGGGGGAACUGAAACAUCUAAGUACCCCGAGGAAAAGAAAUCAACCGAGAUUCCCCCAGUAGCGGCGAGCGAACGGGGAGGAGCCCAGAGCCUGAAUCAGUGUGUGUGUUAGUGGAAGCGUCUGGAAAGGCGCGCGAUACAGGGUGACAGCCCCGUACACAAAAAUGCACAUGCUGUGAGCUCGAUGAGUAGGGCGGGACACGUGGUAUCCUGUCUGAAUAUGGGGGGACCAUCCUCCAAGGCUAAAUACUCCUGACUGACCGAUAGUGAACCAGUACCGUGAGGGAAAGGCGAAAAGAACCCCGGCGAGGGGAGUGAAAAAGAACCUGAAACCGUGUACGUACAAGCAGUGGGAGCCUCUUUAUGGGGUGACUGCGUACCUUUUGUAUAAUGGGUCAGCGACUUAUAUUCUGUAGCAAGGUUAACCGAAUAGGGGAGCCGAAGGGAAACCGAGUCUUAACUGGGCGUUAAGUUGCAGGGUAUAGACCCGAAACCCGGUGAUCUAGCCAUGGGCAGGUUGAAGGUUGGGUAACACUAACUGGAGGACCGAACCGACUAAUGUUGAAAAAUUAGCGGAUGACUUGUGGCUGGGGGGGAAAGGCCAAUCAAACCGGGAGAUAGCUGGUUCUCCCCGAAAGCUAUUUAGGUAGCGCCUCGUGAAUUCAUCUCCGGGGGUAGAGCACUGUUUCGGCAAGGGGGUCAUCCCGACUUACCAACCCGAUGCAAACUGCGAAUACCGGAGAAUGUUAUCACGGGAGACACACGGCGGGUGCUAACGUCCGUCGUGAAGAGGGAAACAACCCAGACCGCCAGCUAAGGUCCCAAAGUCAUGGUUAAGUGGGAAACGAUGUGGGAAGGCCCAGACAGCCAGGAUGUUGGCUUAGAAGCAGCCAUCAUUUAAAGAAAGCGUAAUAGCUCACUGGUCGAGUCGGCCUGCGCGGAAGAUGUAACGGGGCUAAACCAUGCACCGAAGCUGCGGCAGCGACGCUUAUGCGUUGUUGGGUAGGGGAGCGUUCUGUAAGCCUGCGAAGGUGUACUGUGAGGUAUGCUGGAGGUAUCAGAAGUGCGAAUGCUGACAUAAGUAACGAUAAAGCGGGUGAAAAGCCCGCUCGCCGGAAGACCAAGGGUUCCUGUCCAACGUUAAUCGGGGCAGGGUGAGUCGACCCCUAAGGCGAGGCCGAAAGGCGUAGUCGAUGGGAAACAGGUUAAUAUUCCUGUACUUGGUGUUACUGCGAAGGGGGGACGGAGAAGGCUAUGUUGGCCGGGCGACGGUUGUCCCGGUUUAAGCGUGUAGGCUGGUUUUCCAGGCAAAUCCGGAAAAUCAAGGCUGAGGCGUGAUGACGAGGCACUACGGUGCUGAAGUAACAAAUGCCCUGCUUCCAGGAAAAGCCUCUAAGCAUCAGGUAACAUCAAAUCGUACCCCAAACCGACACAGGUGGUCAGGUAGAGAAUACCAAGGCGCUUGAGAGAACUCGGGUGAAGGAACUAGGCAAAAUGGUGCCGUAACUUCGGGAGAAGGCACGCUGAUAUGUAGGUGAAGCGACUUGCUCGUGGAGCUGAAAUCAGUCGAAGAUACCAGCUGGCUGCAACUGUUUAUUAAAAACACAGCACUGUGCAAACACGAAAGUGGACGUAUACGGUGUGACGCCUGCCCGGUGCCGGAAGGUUAAUUGAUGGGGUUAGCGGUAACGCGAAGCUCUUGAUCGAAGCCCCGGUAAACGGCGGCCGUAACUAUAACGGUCCUAAGGUAGCGAAAUUCCUUGUCGGGUAAGUUCCGACCUGCACGAAUGGCGUAAUGAUGGCCAGGCUGUCUCCACCCGAGACUCAGUGAAAUUGAACUCGCUGUGAAGAUGCAGUGUACCCGCGGCAAGACGGAAAGACCCCGUGAACCUUUACUAUAGCUUGACACUGAACAUUGAGCCUUGAUGUGUAGGAUAGGUGGGAGGCUUUGAAGUGUGGACGCCAGUCUGCAUGGAGCCGACCUUGAAAUACCACCCUUUAAUGUUUGAUGUUCUAACGUUGACCCGUUAUCCGGGUUGCGGACAGUGUCUGGUGGGUAGUUUGACUGGGGCGGUCUCCUCCUAAAGAGUAACGGAGGAGCACGAAGGUUGGCUAAUCCUGGUCGGACAUCAGGAGGUUAGUGCAAUGGCAUAAGCCAGCUUGACUGCGAGCGUGACGGCGCGAGCAGGUGCGAAAGCAGGUCAUAGUGAUCCGGUGGUUCUGAAUGGAAGGGCCAUCGCUCAACGGAUAAAAGGUACUCCGGGGAUAACAGGCUGAUACCGCCCAAGAGUUCAUAUCGACGGCGGGGUUUGGCACCUCGAUGUCGGCUCAUCACAUCCUGGGGCUGAAGUAGGUCCCAAGGGUAUGGCUGUUCGCCAUUUAAAGUGGUACGCGAGCUGGGUUUAGAACGUCGUGAGACAGUUCGGUCCCUAUCUGCCGUGGGCGCUGGAGAACUGAGGGGGGCUGCUCCUAGUACGAGAGGACCGGAGUGGACGCAUCACUGGUGUUCGGGUUGUCAUGCCAAUGGCACUGCCCGGUAGCUAAAUGCGGAAGAGAUAAGUGCUGAAAGCAUCUAAGCACGAAACUUGCCCCGAGAUGAGUUCU